rnacentral:lncRNA from 1 species
UAUCAUUUAUACAAAUCCACAUUAAUUUUUUAACAUAAUUGUGUUGCCUAACACAUCUAAUUCCCCAGUUUGCAAUCUGAUUGAAGUCUCCAAAUGGUCCAAGUUAAAUAAAUCCUAAGCCUCAUUCCGUAUUAAGGUGGUCCAAAAUAAAAGGGCUGCACAAAUGGAACAAGCAAAGCACAAAGCCCAACAAAAACAUAAGAUUAGGCGGCCUAAAAAGUAAUUAGUGGCAGCCCAUGGAAGUAUAACCAUAAUAUGUCUUUUCUCCAACUCAAAAUACUAGAAGAACCGUGGGCCAAAAAAAAAAAAGUAGAAAAAGCUUCUAAUGGGCCUAAAAGCUUUGGACAAGUUGAGGAGUGAUGAAGACCAAGGAUCAAAACUUAGAGUAGCCCUAUAAAGAAAGUCCAGCGGCAACUAAUUUGGCAUUGAAAGGACCGAGAAUUUUGGGAACACCACAUAAGUCCUCCAUUUAAAAACCACAUUUCAAAAUUAAUGAACUUCUAAAAAUCUUUCAAAAAUAAGGUGAUAAUUAAAUUUAUUAAAUAUUUAAUUAAAAUAUAGUAUAAUUAAUCUACUUACACCACUUCACCUUCAAC